AGAGAACAGAGCAGAUAUCGCCUACCUACAGGAAGCAAAUCAAACAAACAAGAGGACAAAUGGAGAGCAAGAAGAAAAAAAAGGUGGAAAGCAGAACAAAGAGGAAAAGCAGUGGGACUCCUUUUGCCAACCUCUUCAAUCAGAUGUUUCUCAUCCCUUCUCCCCUUGCCUCGUUACACUGUGGUCUCGCCUGGCUGAGUCGGUGCCGGUGGCCUUGCAGACAGCUAGCUGUGCCCAUUACCUUAAGCAUGUCUGGCUGGUGUGAGCUAGAUUAGAGGAGGAAUGAAUAAGGCUUCUUGACUGUGAGCGCCCGGCCACCUACCUAUAAAUCACCUGCUAACUCCCCACAGCCAUCCCCACCACUCCGCCCUCCCUGUGUCAAAAGUCUCUGACCCAAUCAGAAUUUCACUGUUGUUCCCUCUUGCCCCUCCUUCCCCUUUUUUGUCCGUUUUUUUUUCAUACCUGCCUGCUUUUCUCCCCCUUCUUCACAAUC
rnacentral:lncRNA from 15 species